rnacentral:rRNA from 1 species
CAGCCAUGCCGCGUGUGUGAAGAAGGCCUUCGGGUUGUAAAGCACUUUCAGUCGUGAGGAAGGUGGUGUAGUUAAUAGCUGCAUUAUUUGACGUUAGCGACAGAAGAAGCACCGGCUAACUCCGUGCCAGCAGCCGCGGUAAUACGGAGGGUGCGAGCGUUAAUCGGAAUUACUGGGCGUAAAGCGCAUGCAGGUGGUUUGUUAAGUCAGAUGUGAAAGCCCGGGGCUCAACCUCGGAAUAGCAUUUGAAACUGGCAGACUAGAGUACUGUAGAGGGGGGUAGAAUUUCAGGUGUAGCGGUGAAAUGCGUAGAGAUCUGAAGGAAUACCGGUGGCGAAGGCGGCCCCCUGGACAGAUACUGACACUCAGAUGCGAAAGCGUGGGGAGCAAACAGGAUUAGAUACCCUGGUAGUCCACGCCGUAAACGAUGUCUACUUGGAGGUUGUGGCCUUGAGCCGUGGCUUUCGGAGCUAACGCGUUAAGUAGACCGCCUGGGGAGUACGGUCGCAAGAUUAAAACUCAAAUGAAUUGACGGGGGCCCGCACAAGCGGUGGAGCAUGUGGUUUAAUUCGAUGCAACGCGAAGAACCUUACCUACUCUUGACAUCCAGAGAACUUUCCAGAGAUGGAUUGGUGCCUUCGGGAACUCUGAGACAGGUGCUGCAUGGCUGUCGUCAGCUCGUGUUGUGAAAUGUUGGGUUAAGUCCCGCAACGAGCGCAACCCUUAUCCUUGUUUGCCAGCGAGUAAUGUCGGGAACUCCAGGGAGACUGCCGGUGAUAAACCGGAGGAAGGUGGGGACGACGUCAAGUCAUCAUGGCCCUUACGAGUAGGGCUACACACGUGCUACAAUGGCGCAUACAGAGGGCAGCAAGCUAGCGAUAGUGAGCGAAUCCCAAAAAGUGCGUCGUAGUCCGGAUUGGAGUCUGCAACUCGACUCCAUGAAGUCGGAAUCGCUAGUAAUCGUGGAUCAGAAUGCCACGGUGAAUACGUUCCCGGGCCUUGUACACACCGCCCGUCACACCAUGGGGAGUGGGCUGCAAAAGAAGUAGGUAGUUUAACCUUCGGGAGGACGCUUACCACUUUGUGGUUCAUGACUGGGGUGAAUCGUAAAC